UCUGAGUGUAAGGAGAGUGAUUAGAAAUCACUUGGGCUUUGCCCGCGCAGGUUCGAAUCCUGC
rnacentral:tRNA from 1 species